rnacentral:rRNA from 1 species
CCUACGGGUGGCAGCAGUGAGGAAUAUUGGUCAAUGGGCGCGAGCCUGAACCAGCCAAGUCGCGUGAGGGAUGACGGUCCUACGGAUUGUAAACCUCUUUUGCCGGGGAGCAAGCGUGCGUUCGUGAACGCACGUCGAGAGUACCCGGAGAAAAAGCAUGGGCUAACUCCGUGCCAGCAGCCGCGGUAAUACGGAGGAUGCGAGCGUUAUCCGGAUUUAUUGGGUUUAAAGGGUGCGUAGGCGGGAUGCCAAGUCAGCGGUAAAAAUGCGGUGCUCAACGCCGUCGAGCCGUUGAAACUGGUUUUCUUGAGUGAGUGAGAAGUAUGCGGAAUGCGUGGUGUAGCGGUGAAAUGCAUAGAUAUCACGCAGAACUCCGAUUGCGAAGGCAGCAUACCGGCGCUCAACUGACGCUCAUGCACGAAAGUGUGGGUAUCGAACAGGAUUAGAUACCCGUGUAGUC